rnacentral:tRNA from 3 species
GGCAUUCUGGCCGAGUGGUCUAAGGCGCCAGGUUCAGGUGUAUCCUGGUCUCUCCGGAGGCGAGAGUUCGAAUCUCUCGGAUGUCA